ACACAAACCACAUUCUGACUGGUGGAUUUUUGCAAUAUACUGGCAACAGAUCAUCUAACUACCCUAAAAAUGGCAAUUCAGAUGAUCAUUUGGAUGAGCGCCUUCCUCUGCCUCGUGCAAGUUUUCUCGAUGCCCAUGCCUUGCCAGCUACAAGGACAGCUGGUGCGAUCAACCCACAACCUACUGAGAGACAUGGGGGGUCAUUUUCCUAUGGAGUGCCUGCAGGACAAUGUCUUCAUGGAAUUCCCAGCCACGGCAUUUGCAACCUCCGGAGGGCCACA